rnacentral:rRNA from 1 species
UGCAGUCGAGCGAGCUUUCGGGCUUAGCGGCGGACGGGUGAGUAACGCGUGGGAACGUGCCCUUUGGUACGGAAUAGUCCUGGGAAACUGGGUUUAAUACCGUAUAUUCCCUUCGGGGGAAAGAUUUAUCGCCAAAGGAUCGGCCCGCGUUGGAUUAGGUAGUUGGUGGGGUAAUGGCCUACCAAGCCGACGAUCCAUAGCUGGUUUGAGAGGAUGAUCAGCCACACUGGGACUGAGACACGGCCCAGACUCCUACGGGAGGCAGCAGUGGGGAAUCUUAGACAAUGGGGGCAACCCUGAUCUAGCCAUGCCGCGUGAUCGAUGAAGGCCUUAGGGUUGUAAAGAUCUUUCGCUGGGGAAGAUAAUGACGGUACCCAGUAAAGAAGCCCCGGCUAACUCCGUGCCAGCAGCCGCGGUAAUACGGAGGGGGCUAGCGUUGUUCGGAAUUACUGGGCGUAAAGCGCGCGUAGGCGGAUUGGAAAGUUGGGGGUGAAAUCCCGGGGCUCAACCCCGGAACUGCCUCCGAAACUAUCACUCUGGAGUUCGAGAGAGGUGAGUGGAAUUGCGAGUGUAGAGGUGAAAUUCGUAGAUGUUCGCAGGAACACCAGUGGCGAAGGCGGCUCACUGGCUCGAUACUGACGCUCA